rnacentral:rRNA from 1 species
UGGGGAAUUUUGGACCAUGGGGGAAACCCUGAUCCAGCCAUCCCGCGUGUGCGAUGAAGGCCUUCGGGUUGUAAAGCACUUUUGGCAGGAAAGAAACGUCAUGGGUUAAUACCCCGUGAAACUGACGGUACCUGCAGAAUAAGCACCGGCUAACUACGUGCCAGCAGCCGCGGUAAUACGUAGGGUGCAAGCGUUAAUCGGAAUUACUGGGCGUAAAGCGUGCGCAGGCGGUUCGGAAAGAAAGAUGUGAAAUCCCAGGGCUCAACUUUGGAACUGCAUUUUUAACUACCGGGCUAAAGUGUGUCAGAGGGAGGUGGAAUUCCGCUUGUAGCAUUGAAAUGCGUAGGUAUGCGGAGGAACACCGAUGGCGAAGGCAGCCUCCUGGGAUAACACUGACGCUCAUGCACGAAAGCGUGGGGAGCAAACAGG